UGCCACAGCUACUGGUCCACAGCUGUUCUGACGAGAGACGGUGUGGCAUUCCUCUGUGAGAAGGAAACUCUUACAUGAUUAAACACCUCUCUUAGGAAAACACAAAGUGAGCAUAUAUGUGACAAACACCA
rnacentral:snoRNA from 1 species